GAAAAAGACGUGAAAGUUAAUAUUAUGCUGUUUCGAACCUUAUGUCCUCUUGAAUCUGAAGGCUCCUGUAGCACAGUCUUGAAUUUGGGCUAGUCUCAAAAUUGUAUUUUUGGAAUCUACGGUCAAUAGGCUUUCUGUCGAUACCUCAUUCUUCCAUAACAAGAGAGUUCGUGAACAUAAAAAGCAAGUUUUUUCAGCUGUGUAAUUGAAAAAGACGUGAAAGUUGAUAUUAUGCUGUUUCGAACCUUAUGUCCUCUUGAAUCUGAAGGCUCCUGUAGCACAGUCUUGAAUUUGGGCUAGUCUCAAAAUUGUAUUUUUGGAAUCUACGGUCAAUAGGCUUUCUGCCGAUGCCUUAUUCAGGCAUCACUAGGCCGUACGUGGAGAUAAAAAGCAAGUUUUUUCAGCUGUGUAAUCGAAAAAGACGUGAAAGUUAAUAUUAUGCUAUUUCGAACCUUUUGUUCUAUUGAAUUUCAAGGCCCCUUGUAGCAAAAACUUGAAUUUGUCACGGUCUGAAAAUUGUAUUUUUGGAAUCUACGGUCAAUAGGCUUUCUGUCGAUGCCUCAUUCUUGCAUAACUAUAGACAGUCCGUGGACAUAAAAAGCUAGUUUUUCCAGACGUGAAAGUUAAUAAUAUUAUGCAUGCUCUUUCGAACAUUAUGACAUCACGCCCUAUUUGGACCAGUCUGAACAUUGCAUUUUUGGAAUCUA